AUGUCCCUGAGCACCGUGCAGAUACUAGUCUGUAUUGUCAAGGAGUGUUUUAAGUCUCCACCUCAGGGUGAUGACUGCUUUGAUUCACGAGAAGAGGAUCUAAAUGGGUCAGGGAAUUACUUGUCCCUGGGACAGAGCAAUUACACCAUUCUUCACAGGCCCCAGAAGCCUGGCCAACAUGAUGAAACCCCGUCUCUACUAAAAAUACAAAAAUUAGAUGUGGAGGUCAGAGUGGAAGCCAGUGUGAGAGGGUUCAGCAGAAGAAAACAUAGCUGCCAAGUGUUUGAGUCCAUCAGCAAGUUUGGGCUGGCCUUAGCUGUUGCAGGAGGCAUGGUGAACUCUGCCUUAUAUAACAUGGAUGCUGGGCACAGAGCUGUCAUCUUUGACCAGUUCUGUGGAGUACAGGACAUUGUGGUAGGGGAAAGAACUCACUUUCUCAUACCAUGGGUACAGAAACCGAUUAUCUUUGACCACCAUUCUCAACCACGUAAUGUGCCAGUCAUCACUGGUAGCAAGGAUUUACAGAAUGUCAACAUCACACUCUGCGUCCUCUUUGGGCCUGUCACUAGCCAGCUUCCUCGCAUCUUCACCAGCAUCGGAGAAGACUGUGAUGAGUGUGUGCUGCCAUCCAUCACUGCCGAGAGCCUCAAGUCAGUGGUGGCUCGCUUUGAUGCUGGAGAACUCAUCACCCAGAGAGAGCUGGUCUCCAGGCAGGUGAGCGACAACCUUACAGAGCAAGCAGCCACCUUUGGGCUCAUCCUGGACGAUGUGUCCUUGACAAUCUGACCUUCAGGAAGGAGUUCACAGAAGCAGUGGAAGCCAAACAGGUGGCUCAGCAGGAAGCAGAGAGGGCCAGCACUCACUGGCCACUGCAGGGGACGGCCUGAUGGAGCUGUGCGAGCUGGAAGCUGCGGAGGACAUCACGUACCAGCUCUCUCGCUCUUGGAACAUCACCAGUCUGCCGGUGGGGCAGUCCGUGCCCCUCCAGCUGCCCCAGUGAGGGCCCACCCUGCCUGCACCUCCGCGGGCCAACUGGGCCACAGGCCCGAUGAUUCUUAACACUGCCUUCCUUCUGCCCCCACCCCAGAAAUCACUGUGAAAUUUCAUGAUUGGCUUAAAGUGAAGGAAAUAAAGAUAAAAUCACUUCAAAUC